rnacentral:rRNA from 1 species
GGGGGAAACCCUGACGCAGCGACGCCGCGUGGAGGAUGAAGGUCUUCGGGUUGUAAACUCCUUUUCUUGGGGAAAAUGAUGAUGGUACUCAAGGAAUAAGCCACGGCUAACUCUGUGCCAGCAGCCGCGGUAAGACAGAGGUGGCGAGCGUUGUUCGGAAUUACUGGGCUUAAAGGGCGAGUAGGCGGUAGAGCAAGUCUGAGGUGGAAUCCUAUGGCUUAACCAUAGAACUGCCUUAGAAACUGCUUUACUUGAGUCAGUGAGGGGAGGGCGGAAUUCCUGGUGUAGCGGUGAAAUGCGUAGAUAUCAGGAGGAAGGCCUGUGGCGAAAGCGGCCCUCUGGCACUGUACUGACGCUGAGGCGCGAAAGCGUGGGGAGCAAACAGGAUUAGAUACCCUGGUAGUCCACGCCCUAAACGGUGGGCAUUAGGUGUAGGGCUCGUAAGGGUUCUGUGCCGAAGGGAAACCAUUAAAUGCCCCGCCUGGGG